UGUUUUGGGAAACUAUAUUCCCUUCAAAGAACUACCCUCCCUGCAGUGAGAUGCUCAUUCUAUGAGAUACACACCGAAACAGACUAAUUGAUGGUGCUAUGCAUGAUACGUCCAGUCCCACGUUUGUUCUGUGAUGCAGGCACGUUAUGUGGAAUUGUGAUUUCUCUCUCCAUAGUGUGAUCAUUGAAUUUCUAUAGAGCACAAGCAGGAGAAGCUGCAGGCAGAGGGAGAGGGAGAAGCAGACUUUCCACUGAGCAGGGAGCCGAUGUGGGACUCGAUCCCAGGACCCUGGCAUCAUGACCUGAGUUGAAGGACUGAGGUUCAGGCUAUAUGCAAGGAUGUGCCUCUUAUGUCUGCGUGGUGCCUGUUCUGACUCUGGACAGCCUUUGCUCUACUGACAGUUCCAUGGUAUGAGGAUGCCCCUUGCCUCUUGGUUUGCUUAUCUUAGAGUGAGUCUUCAUUUUGGAGGCUUUCAUCAAACUCUGGUGACUACUGGAGCACAUUUGAGAACCAGAUCAUAAAUCAUCUCUGUGAUGGGGCCUCUGUGCUUGCAGUAGACUCACAGAUUGAAGGACUUCACUUAGAAUGAUCUGGUGGGAAGGCACUCUCUUAGACAUUUAACUGGUGAACCUUUAAAAGCAAGACUGUGGAAGUUCAGAGAUGUUUGAUUCUUUUUUAGAGAAGAAUCUCUGCCAUUUUUUUGAGGGUGGGGUACAUGUCAAGCCAUCAUAUGGCUGUUUGUUCAGAGUGGUGGAGAGGGGUAAGGUUCAGCCCCUUGUCUUGCUCCUGCCCUUUGUUGUAUUGGGUAUUUAUUUAUUUUUUUAAAGAUUUUAUUUAUUUAUUCAUUAGACACACACACACACACACACACACACACACACGAGGGGGGAGGGCAGAGACAUAGGCAGAGGGAGAAGCAGGCUCUAUGCAGGGAGUUGGAUGUGGAACUCGAUCCCGGGACUACAGGAUCAUGCCCUAAGCCAAAGGCAGACGCUUAACUGCUGAGCCACCCAGGUAUCCCUGUAUUGGAUAUUUAUAUGACACAAGCCACUUGGAAGUCCAAGGAAAUGAUUUGCUCCCCACUUGGCUGCUAUUUCCCUCCUGUGUGCAUUUCCUUUUUUUUUUUUUUAAGAUUUUAUUUAUUUAUUAGAGAGAAAGCGCUUGAGCAUGAGUAGUAGGUGGGGCAGAAGGAGAGGGAGAAGCAGAUUCCCUGGUGAGCAGAGAGCCCCAUACAGGGCUCAAUCCCAGAACCCCUGAGAUGAUGACCUGAGCCAAAGGCAAAUGCUUAACCAACUGAGUCACCCAGGUGCCCCACCUCCCAUGUGCAUUCCAGUCUUUGGCCUCCUGUACUCGGCUUUACCAGCUACCUCCAUUCUCUAUUUUUAUGUGUAUGUAGGGUAAAAUAGACAUAAAUAAAUUUUUACAUUUUCAUCAUUUUUAAGUAUACGGUUCAGUAGCAUUAACUACAUUCACAGUGUUGUGCAACUGUCACCACCAUCCACCUCCAGAACUUUUCCAUCUACUCAAACUGAAACUCUUUACCUAUUAAACAAUAGCUACCUGUCUCCCCUCCCCCCAGCGCCUGGCAACCACCAUUCUAUCUUCUGUGUCUAUGAUUUGCCUACUCCAGGUACUCCA